GCAUCCUGGGGCUUUCUGUGGCUCUCCCAUCAGUGCCCUGGGGCUGGCAUAUGCGACACCUCCUCUGCCUAGGGCAUUCAGGCAUUCUUCAGUACUUGGUGAGCACCUCCUAGUGCCAAGCUCUGUCCUGGUCACAGGAGAGCACUCCUAUCCAUGUGUUGUCCCUGUCCUCACUGCGCUUUGGGCCGGAGAGGAGCUCACUGUCUGAUCCUUUUCCCCGACUGUGGCUUAAGGGGUUUCGUCUCUUGCUAGAGCCCUUCUAGGCAGGCAGCAGGUCCUGGUUUGUGAGCAAGGGGCUCCUCCUCCAUUUUGGAGCCUCGGCUGCCCUGCCUCCCCGGUAAUCUGGUAUUCUGGUAGUGCCUCUCUGGGCCCUGGUUUAAAAGGCCGAGAGAAGCUGUAUUCUGGAGAUCAGCUCCAGGUUCUCCCGCAGAGAGCAAGCUCCAGGCACAGGCAAAGGGUGUGGCUUCAGAGAAGAGCGAGGAUCUUGCCAUCUCUUUUACAGAUCCGUGGAAGGCAGAGAGAAUUUGGGAACCUCUGUGCUAUAAGCAUGGAAAAUUGGGACUCAGGUAAAAAGGCUGGUUCCUGGUCGCACAGCUGGUCAUGGGCACUUUGGCAAAGGAGUGUGAGUUUUGGGGAAGCUCAAGGAAGAGGUACCAGGUAGAGAGAGGGCCAGGGCUGAGUUCACGGGCUCUUUCUAAAUGGAAAUGUCUCACAUUCAGCUGUUGUCUGCCUUUGAGUCACACAGAACCACUUGCAGGAAGAACUCUAGAGAAUUUGGGAAGAAAGGGGGAGAGGACAGACAAAAGAUGCAUUUUUCUUUCAAGAAGCAGGAAAAUGUAAGGAAAAUUGAAGGUGUUCUCAAGUGUGUCUGCUGCUGCCUGACACAGGUUAACCCCGUCGCAGGUCACUCCGCUCUGUUAAUUGCAUCCUAACCUUCCUCGGCUCUUCGGCAGCGAAAUCGCAGCAGAGGAGAUGGAGCAGCUUCGUGCGCAUUGCUCAUUUGCGCCAACGUGAAAAGAACUGCCAGGAUGCCCAGGACACCAGCUCCCUGGCUUCUGCGGUGCUUGCACAGUCCUGAAUCAGCCCGAGAGCUGUGGAUCUGCGUCCCCUGGCUGCAUAGCCGACUGCCGGCUCCAUGGAGGGGCCUGUGCCGGAGAACGCACAUGUUGACUUAUUUCUUCAGUCUAGGCCUUUCUUGGCCCCCUUGGUUAUUCAUUCUAGAUGAUACAACUCUUAUUUCAGUUCAAAUGUCUCACGGAAGAGGCAUUGAAGACAGAGUGGAUGCCCGUGUUUGUUGGCAGUAGGUAGUAUUUACCACUCCGGUUGUAGUAAAAGAACAAAAGGAGAAAUUACACCUAUUUCUCAUAUUUAAGGGAAAAGCAAUUAAAUCACCAAAGUCAGAUUCUCG
rnacentral:lncRNA from 1 species